UAACGCCAUAAUUUUUGCCAGUAAAACUGAAAGCAACAGUAUGUGAAGAUGACUCUAAUCUUACAACAAAGUUGAAGCAAAUAUGCAGUAACUUAUUGAAGAAGAUUCAAAUUAUUCUUUCAACUUCCAAAAAAGAAGCAGAAGUUAUUCAACCAGAAUUAGUAACUUUUUUCUCCAGGGUUUGUAGAGGCACUUGAUUCUGCUUGAAAUGGCGGGCAUCAACAUAAAGCAGCCCUUAUUAGAUCAGCUGCCUAAAACCCUUCAAAAUGUUGACCAAAGGAGAAGAAGACUUCGCCGGCAUAAAAGUGCUCCUAUGGCCGAAUUUGUUCCUGGAGAAAUGAAUGACACAAAGGACGACCAAUCCCUCCCACGUUAUGAGACAAUAUUGGAUAAACUCCAUCCUAGUUUUAGGAAAGUCAUUCUUUACUUGGUUAUAUAUGUGACUAUUGGUACCACGUGCUUUUACUUUGUUCGGGACCAAAUCAGGGGAAAGAAAGUAAAUGGGGUACUCGAUUCUGUUUACUUUUGUGUUGUGACAAUGACAACUGUUGGAUACGGGGACCUCUUCCCUAACAGUGCAACUACUAAAUUGCUUGCCUGUUUCUUUGUUUUCUCUGGGAUGGCAUUUGCUGGAAUGGUUCUAAGCAAAGGAGCAGACUAUUUGGUGGAGAAACAGGAAACUGUAUUAUUCAAAGCAAUGCAUAUGCGUGAUAAAGCCAGUCCGAGUGAAAUUCUAGAGGAAAUCGAAACCAACAGAGUAAGGUACAAGUGCAUCGUAAUAACGGCCUCUCUCGUGGUGCUAAUAGUUGUUGGAACGGUUUUCCUUGUCAAGGUAGAAAAGUUAAGUACCAUUGAUGCGUUUUAUUGUGUCUGUUCUACCAUCACAACGCUAGGAUAUGGAGAAAAAAGCUUCUCAACUGAAGCAGGGCGUAUUUUUGCUAUAUUCUGGAUUUUGACCAGCACCGUAUGUGCGGCUCAGUUCUUCCUUUAUGUUGCUGAAUUUAACACGCAAAGUAGGCAGAAGGAGCUGGUGAAAUUGGUUCUUACAAGAAGGAUGACAAAUGUGGACUUGGAAGAAGCUGAUCUUGAUAAUGAUGGGGUUGUAGGGGCUGCUGAAUUUGUGGUUUAUAAACUUAAGGAGAUGGGGAAGAUCAACCAAGAAGACGUAUCACUUUUGUUAGACGAGUUUGAAAGUCUUGAUGACGAUCAGUCUGGAACUUUGUCAACCACAGAUUUGACACUUGCCCAAUCAUCUUAAAGGGGAAGGUGAUCGCGAUACUACCUUAUAUUCCAUAUUCCUAUUUCCAUGAGCUUCUGUGGGACGUGAUAAAAUGGCGGAUGCAGCUCUUCGGCUGAACCUUGUAUUUUUUGUGCUGUGUAUAAGUAUAUAUGUGAAGAUGAAUCCAAAUUUGUACUUAAAGGUCGGAUCUAUCAAAUUUAAACUCUGUAUCUGUCCCUUAAAAUGUCAGGUGCAGUGUGAUGGGCAA